UAUCUAAUAUCGCUAUACAAUAGCUCUCAAAGUAAUGCACCACUACUACAACUUAAGUUCUUCACUUUUUGAGUAAGGAUGCAAACUAUGAGACCGGGUUUUUUUAGCUCAAAUGUCGCUGAAAAGCGUUUUCUUUAUAGUUUUAUCAUGAAUGAUCUCAUAUAUUGAUAAGUAGCAAUCGUGUCUUUCCAUGUCGAAGCCUCAAAACAUUAUAUCCAUAUAAU